AUUGAACGCUGGCGGCAGGCCUAACACAUGCAAGUCGAACGAGUGGCGGACGGGUGAGUAAUGUCUGGGAAACUGCCUGAUGGAGGGGGAUAACUACUGGAAACGGUAGCUAAUACCGCAUACCAUCAGAUGUGCCCAGAUGGGAUUAGCUAGUUGUGUGGGUCACGGCUCACCAAGGCGACGAGCCCUAGCUGGUCUGAGAGGAUGACCAGCCACACUGGAACUGAGGCACGGUCCAGACUCCUACGGGAGGCAGAAGUGGGGAAUAUUGCACAAUGGGCGCAAGCCUGAUGCAGCCAUGCCGCGUGUAGGAAGAAGGCCUUCGGGUUGUAAAGUACUUUCAGCGGGGAGGCGUUACCCGCAGAAGAAGCACCGGCUAACUCCGUGCCAGCCGCCGCGGUAAUUC
rnacentral:rRNA from 1 species